AUUUGGAACUUAAAGUACUUAUUGAUGUGUUUAAACUGUACAUUCUCCAGAGAUCAGAUUAAAGAGUUUGUGGGUGAACUUUAUCUAUGCAUAGUGGAAAGACACAUGGAUCAGGUGAAGGAGAGGAAGAGAAGAAAAAAA